GACGAACGCUGGCGGCGUGCUUAACACAUGCAAGUCGAACGGAAAGGCCCUGCUUUUGUGGGGUGCUCGAGUGGCGAACGGGUGAGUAACACGUGAGUAACCUUCCCUUGACUUUGGGAUAACUUCAGGAAACUGGGGCUAAUACCGGAUAUGAUCUCCUGCUGCAUGGUGUGGGUUGGAAAGUUUCGGCGGUUGGGGAUGGACUCGCGGCUUAUCAGCUUGUUGGUGGGGUAGUGGCUUACCAAGGCUUUGACGGGUAGCCGGCCUGAGAGGGUGACCGGCAACAUUGGGACUGAGAUACGGCCCAGACUCCUACGGGAGGAAGCAGUGGGGAAUAUUGCACAAUGGGCGGAAGCCUGAUGAAGCAACGCCGCGUGCGGGAUGACGGCCUUCGGGUUGUAAACCGCUUUCGCCUGUGACGAAGCGUGAGUGACGGUAAUGGGUAAAGAAGCACCGGCUAACUACGUG
rnacentral:rRNA from 1 species